rnacentral:lncRNA from 1 species
GUUCCUGUAGACCUCCAGGCCGUAUAAAGCUCCCACUUCGGUUUCUUCGCAUGCGGUCUGCUGUGCCCAUAACGUGGUCUGAUAGAACUCACAUACCACAUACACGUGUCAGCACAGUCGAUAUUCCAAUGUGAACUUUCGGACCCAUUUCUGGGCACCCGAAAUCAGGAUCCGAAUUGGCUUCCAGUUUCUGCUCAGAUCAGCACUCGACUUCUGGGCGACCCAAACCCAGUUCUGGGCGCCCAAAAUUGGCAAAACUCCAGUUUUGCUUAUUUGAAUGCGCCAAGUCCAUUUUUUCAUCCAUUUUGUGGAGAAACGACUCCGACUCAAUCCGACACUCUCCAGAUACGUCGACCAGUCACUAAUGCUGUAGCCAAUCCUAUCCAAAACUCCGAAACACUAUAUUAUCUGUUACUAAUGAACUCUGGACUUUUUUUAAUU